rnacentral:rRNA from 1 species
GAAACUAACCAGGAUUCCCCCAGUAACGGCGAGUGAAGGGGGAAUAGCCCAGCAUCGAAGCCUAUAGACUUUUGUCUGUAAGGCAAUGUGAUGUUAUGGAUUGUGCCUAGGGUCACUGAUCAACUCGAAGUCCAAUAUUGAAUGUGGCUUUUGUAAUUUAGCCCAAAGUGGGUGAUAGGCCCGUGCGAGUUGAUUGUUAGUUAUGUUGAGUGGCCUCUAGAUGCAUAAUCUUUGGAGUCGGAUUGCUUGAGAAUGCAGUCCAAAGUUGGUGGUAAACUCCAUCAAAGGCUAAAUACUGGCACGAGUCCGAUAGCAAACAAGUACUGUGAGGGAAAGUUGAAAAGUACUCUGAAGAGAGAGUAAAUAGUACGUGAAACCACAUGUAGGUAAACGGGUGGAGUCCAGCUGCGUGUUUUGGGGGCUUAGCUGGCUAUGUGAAUAUAUGGGUGUUGUGUACUGCCACGUAUUGGUUUGCCGAUAAAGGCAAAUUAGGCCUAACCCUAAUUUGAGUUCUAUCAUGCAAAUAGUUUAAGCCAUACGUGUG